UUACAGGUUCUGGUGUGCCUGAGCACAGAGAGCAGGCCAGAUCUCCAAAAUUCUCAAGACCUGGGCACCCACUGGAUCUUCACAGUACAGGAAACUGGACCACUACAUCUACCCACAUGCUUCUGGCUGGAAGGAGAGUAGAUUCGUAAAACCUGCUGCAUCUAACUCCAGGGCAGAGCCCCCUUCUGAAGGAUGCUUCAGCUUCCUGUAAUCCAUCGAGUGGGUAGAUGUGAUGUCCCAAAUCACUGAAAUCCUGUGCUGUUCACUUGUCAGAGAAUUCGAUGUCACCAUUACAAGCCCUGAUGCUCUA